rnacentral:rRNA from 1 species
CUACGGGGGGCAGCAGUGGGGAAUAUUGGACAAUGGGCGAAAGCCUGAUCCAGCCAUGCCGCGUGUGUGAAGAAGGCCUUCGGGUUGUAAAGCACUUUCAGUGGGGAAGAAAGCCUUGGGGCUAAUACCCUCGAGGAAGGACAUCACCCACAGAAGAAGCACCGGCUAACUCCGUGCCAGCAGCCGCGGUAAUACGGAGGGUGCGAGCGUUAAUCGGAAUUACUGGGCGUAAAGCGCGCGUAGGCGGUCUGAUAAGCCGGUUGUGAAAGCCCCGGGCUCAACCUGGGAACGGCAUCCGGAACUGUCAGGCUAGAGUGCAGGAGAGGAAGGUAGAAUUCCCGGUGUAGCGGUGAAAUGCGUAGAGAUCGGGAGGAAUACCAGUGGCGAAGGCGGCCUUCUGGACUGACACUGACGCUGAGGUGCGAAAGCGUGGGUAGCAAACAGGAUUAGAUACCCGAGUAGUC